CCGACCUUAGCUCAGUUGGCAGAGCGGAGGACUGUAGAUCCUUAGGUCGCUGGUUCGAAUCUGGCAGGUCGGA
rnacentral:ncRNA from 15 species